CUUGAUGGAGCCCAACCACAGCGGCUCGUCCCCGGACCUCUCCCGCCCGUAGGUCGCCAGCAGCGCCUGCGCCUC
rnacentral:antisense_RNA from 1 species